GAUGAACGCUGACAGAAUGCUUAACACAUGCAAGUCAACUUGAACUUCGGUUUGGGUGGCGGACGGGUGAGUAACGCGUAAAGAACUUGCCUCACAGAUAGGGACAACAUUUGGAAACGAAUGCUAAUACCUGAUAUUAUGAUUUUAGGGCAUCCUAGAAUUAUGAAAGCUAUAUGCGCUGUGAGAGAGCUUUGCGUCCCAUUAGCUAGUUGGAGAGGUAACGGCUCACCAAGGCGAUGAUGGGUAGCCGGCCUGAGAGGGUGAUCGGCCACAAGGGGACUGAGACACGGCCCUUACUCCUACGGGAGGCAGCAGUGGGGAAUAUUGGACAAUGGACCAAGAGUCUGAUCCAGCAAUUCUGUGUGCACGAUGAAGUUUUUCGGAAUGUAAAGUGCUUUCAGUUGGGAAGAAAAAAAUGACGGUACCAACA
rnacentral:rRNA from 1 species